rnacentral:misc_RNA from 1 species
GAUGAAGAACGCAGCGAAACGCGAUAAGUAAUGUGAAUUGCAGAAUCCAGUGAAUCAUCGAAUCUUUGAACGCACAUUGCGCCCGCCAGCAUUCUGGCGGGCAUGCCUGUUCGAGCGUCAUUUCAACCCUCGACCUCCCCUUGGGGAGGUCGGCGUUGGGGACCGGCACACCGCCGGCCCUGAAAUGGAGUGGCGGCCCGUCCGCGGCGACCUCUGCGCAGUAAUACAGCUCGCACCGGGACCCCGACGCGGCCACGCCGUAAAACACCCAACUUCUGAACGUUGACCUCGAAUCAGGUAGGACUACCCGCUGAACUUAAGCAUAUCAAUAAGCGGAGGA